rnacentral:rRNA from 1 species
GACGAACGCUGGCGGCGUGCUUAACACAUGCAAGUCGAGCGGUAAGGCCCUUUCGGGGUACGACGAGCGGCGAACGGGUGAGUAACACGUGGGUGACCUGCCCUCAGCUCUGGGAUAAGCCUGGGAAACUGGGUCUAAUACUGGAUAUGACUCCACGGUGCAUGUCGUGGGGUGGAAAGCCUUGUGCGGCUGAGGAUGGGCCCGCGGCCUAUCAGCUUGUUGGUGGGGUGAGGCCUACCAAGGCGACGCCGGGUAGCCGGCCUGAGAGGGCGACCGGCCACACUGGGACUGAGACACGGCCCAGACUCCUACGGGAGGCAGCAGUGGGGAAUCUUGCGCAAUGGGCGAAAGCCUGACGCAGCGACGCCGCGUGAGGGAUGACGGG